rnacentral:rRNA from 1 species
AUUGAACGCUGGCGGCAUGCCUUACACAUGCGAGUCGAACGGCAGCACGGGGCAACCUGGUGGCGAGUGGCGAACGGGUGAGUAAUGCAUCGGAACGUGCCAUUGAGUGGGGGAUAACGUAGCGAAAGUUGCGCUAAUACCGCAUAUUCUGUGAGCAGGAAAGCAGGGGACCGCAAGGCCUUGCGCUCUUUGAGCGGCCGAUGUCAGAUUAGCUAGUUGGUGAGGUAACGGCUUACCAAGGCGACGAUCUGUAGCGGGUCUGAGAGGAUGAUCCGCCACACUGGAACUGAGACACGGUCCAGACUCCUACGGGAGGCAGCAGUGGGGGAUUUUGGACAAUGGGCGCAAGCCUGAUCCAGCCAUGCCGCGUGAGUGAAGAAGGCC